GCAAACGUCAAACCGCUAACGAAGUUGUUAGUUUUAGAACUCUAUUAUAACAGCUUUUACACCAGUUUUGAAAUAUAUUAAACAAUUAUUAAACUUGUGCUCUUUAGCAAUGAUUUAAGAAAGCAAAUUAACAACUAGUCACGUAUUCACCAAAGCUGUAAAUUAAGAGCUGGCGUUUGAAGUUGAUGUUUGGCGUAUAAAUUUUAUGCUUGAACUGUUACGAGAGCU